GUUAAGUGUAAGUACAGAAGUAUGCGAUUUGAGACACAGCACUGGAGUCAGGAUGUUGUUAGCCUAGCUUAGCAUUAAAAGCGGACAAAGUUCAAAAUAAGCAUGUCAAUAACUCUUUUUCCUUAAAAUGUUAAGCAGCAUUGACUGUUAGUAGGUAGGAGUAUGAUCCCCACAGUCAAAACCACACACACUUUCAGUAUCUAUGCUAUUCAUGUAAAAAAAGGUAAUUAGCCUAGCUUAGCAGAGGAUUAGCAGUGACUGUCAUCUCAGCUCCUGACUAAGGUGGAAUUCAUACUUUAAUGUAUUAAAGAGUAGAUUAAUUUCAUUAUAAAUAUGACAUGGACGGACAUAGAGACUCAAGACAAAACAAAUAUAUGAACUGUCACCUCCAAAUAAUCAUGUAAUGUUUAUUAAAAUGAUGUUUAAAAAGACAAGAGAGCUGAAGGAGUGUUUGGAAGGUAAAGUUAACAAUAUAUCUGACACUCGGUGUGUUUUAUUCCAGAGGAGAAUACUGGAGGUUCACUUUCUAUGUGUUCCAGCUCUGUGGGGUCCGUAGCAGCAGAGAGGAUGUAGAUAAGUAAGAGGUCGUCUGGGAGAGAUGCAGCAGAUUUAUCACAGGAAACCCAGGGGAGGAGAAAGAGGCUAAUAUAGCACAGUAGGUGCUGAACAAAGAAAGCAUCCCUUCUCAUCGUUACAUACCUGAAGAGAUCACAACAAAUCUGCAGAUCUGUGAAAAACCAACUGACACACUGACAACGGACAAUAACCCGACCUGGCAGCACUGACACCAGCAGAAUCAUGAUGGUCAAAAAGAGCAAAAGUACGUAUACCUCAAUAAUACCACAAGACACAAUGGAGGAACUGGGUUAGAUGGAAAGCAGUGAGGCAGAGGUGUGUUUUUUUUGUUAUUUUACUUUUAACUCUUGUAGGAAAGCAGCAGGGAAAUGAUGGGAAUGAUUGCACAUCCCAGAGAGACUUUUCUUUUUCCCUACACUUGUGCUUUGUUGUCUUAACAUUCCCACUGAUUCCUUGGACUCCAGAAGCUUUAAUAUGUGUUGGCUGCAGUUUGCCUGGACUUCAAACAACUCGGCAAAGUCUGCAAAUAAAGUAAGAAAAAGUAGUUUUUUUUACUCUUCUGGGGUAUGAAUCUUUAUUCAAUACUUACUGAGCUCAAAUCAGAGAAUGAAGUGGCUUUAUUGUUGGUUCUAUAUACUGUAGGCAACUACGCAGCAUGGCCAAAAGUAUGUGGACAUGCAAACAUUACACCCCCAUAUGUUAUAAUUGAACAUGUGAUUAUAAAACGGGCGAUGAAACAGCUCUCAGCUCUUCCCGGAAGCUUGUCCUUCAGAUUUUUGGAACCUGGCAACUCUUAUUCAGGCAGAGAGGGCUUUUACUUUUUAAUUGAAUUACAUAUUCAAUCUGUAAUAAUGUAUUUCAAUUGAAAUUUCACAGGAUGUGUGACAAAAUAAUCUCAACUCAAAAAAGUGCCACCGACCGGCUUUUUGAGAACUUUAACCACAUCUCACAGACAAGAAUGAACUUCUAUACUUGAGUUUAUCAGUUUAUUUAUUUGCACAAAUUGAACAAAAACACACAAACAACAGGAACAAAAAUGUGCAGGGAAAGGAGGAAAAAACCUACCUGAGUAAUAUGCAUACAUAAGUAUACAAGAAAAACUAAGUCACAUUGUUAAAAAAUAAAAUAAGAAAACCAAAAUGAAAGCCUUUUUAAAUAUUCUCUAAAGGACUUUUAAGGAAGAAGAAAUUUGAACCCAACGACAAUAGUAGUAAUAAAUUUGGACGACGGAGGCAGAGAUGCUGAAAGUUCCCAGUGUCUGAAGUAAUAUAUUACAAAUGGGCGAGUUCAUAAAUGUGCAUGUUGCAUUCCCUGUUUCCCUCAGUAACCUUGGUAACCGUUGGUCUUUUCAUGAAGUCCUGUUAGCUUGUCACUCUGCGAAUGAACUGAACAACGUCAAUUCUACAGUGUAUUUUAGAGUUCGGAUACAUGGGUUGCUUUUUCAUUAAUCUGAAUCAUUUAUGUGUAAACUCAUCAUUUAAAGUUGUUUUUGAUUUUUCCCCAAACUGGGAAAACCAUUUCUUUAUGGAGCUGGGGCAUGAAGAAGACCUUCACCAAACUGUUGGAAGCACACUUUUGACUACAAUAGUGUUUGCUAACACUUUAAUAGUCACAGCUCCUUGUUACAGGUUGCAUAUAAGAGUGAUGUUUUCCUCGGAGAUGUUUUCAUGUGAGGAGCGUUUUUGAGGCCUGGAGAGAUAAAAUCAUCCAGUAUUUCACAAUAAAAAUGGAAAAACAAAGAGAAAAGUCACACAAAUAAUACAAUUUGUGACCAAAACAUGUUUGUUUUUUUAUAUCAUCUUGUGAGAUUGAUCUUAUCUCUUGGGGAUCUAGAAUAUCAUCACGAUGUCCCUUCACAAAGACUAAGAAGCCAACACCAUAACAAACUGUCCCAGAAUAAAAAGUACAUAAAAUGAUGUGGUGUCCAUAUACUUUUGGCCAUGUAGAGUACACUUUCCUCAUACAAAUAUACAAAGCAAAUUCAGAAAGAUAAACUACAUGCAGCAAAUUUGUUCAAAACAUAUUUUUCUCUGCCAGGAAUUCAGAACUCCACAUUAACAAACAGGUGCAUCUCUCCGCCACCUGCGGCCGCAGCGACCCGCCGCCCGCAGGCCGAAAACACUGAUUCAGCUGCGUCUGAACUCCCAAAUCACCUUGGGGAGAAACUGUGAGAAAUCCCACUGCAAUAACAGCACAUCAGGUGCCUCAGCAGAGAGCGAUCAAUUAACAGCGGGCAGUCUAUGGCUGCUAAUGCGUCUCUUUCAUACCCCGCUGUAUGUACGCCUCUCUCUCUCUGCUGCUGCUGAUGCUGCUGCUCUCUCCGUGUUGAGGACAAGAGAGACGACUUCAAAGGCCGGUUGUCAUUAAAACAGCCAUCUCCUCUAUCGGGCAUAAAUAUUCCAUCAACAGCGCAAAGAGAACAGCAUCCCGUCUGAAUACAGUACUGGAUGUGGCAGCAUCAUCAGGAACACUGGCAACACCUGGGGCUCUGGGUGCCAGUGCCUCUUCAAAAACCCCGUUGGAGUCCAGUUGCUGGGUUGCUCUCCUUCCUGAGACACCUUUUGGCUUUUGGGUUGACAGUUGACUUGUUUUUCUGCACCCUACAACACUACAUCCAUACACUGCUCCACUCAUGCACUCACCUACACUACUGAUCUCACUGACUACACAUGCCAUUGUUAGGUUGGGUUUUUCUCUUAGGUUACUUCCUUUUUUAAAAUAAAUUGGUUAUUA